rnacentral:rRNA from 1 species
GACGAACGCUGGCGGCGUGCUUAACACAUGCAAGUCGAACGGAAAGGCCCUGCUUGCAGGGUACUCGAGUGGCGAACGGGUGAGUAACACGUGGGUGAUCUGCCCUGCACUUCGGGAUAAGCCUGGGAAACUGGGUCUAAUACCGGAUAGGAGCCAUUUUUAGUGUGAUGGUUGGAAAGUUUUUUCGGUGUAGGAUGAGCUCGCGGCCUAUCAGCUUGUUGGUGGGGUAAUGGCCUACCAAGGCGGCGACGGGUAGCCGGCCUGAGAGGGUGGACGGCCACAUUGGGACUGAGAGAAGGCCCAGACUCCUACGGGAGGCAGCAGUGGGGAAUAUUGCACAAUGGGCGCAAGCCUGAUGCAGCGACGCCGCGUGGGGGAUGACGGCCUUCGGGUUGUAAACUCCUUUCGCUAGGGACGAAGCUUUUUGUGACGGUACCUAGAGAAGAAGCACCGGCUAACUACGUG